CACGUAGGGCGCGAGCGUUGUCCGGAAUUAUUGGGCGUAAAGAGCUCGUAGGCGGCCUGUUGCGUCCGCUGUGAAAGCCCGGGGCUUAACCCCGGGUCUGCAGUGGAUACGGGCAGGCUAGAGGUAGGUAGGGGAGAAUGGAAUUCCCGGUGUAGCGGUGAAAUGCGCAGAUAUCGGGAGGAACACCGGUGGCGAAGGCGGUUCUCUAGUACGGUACUGACGCUGAGACGCGAAAGCGUGGGGAGCGAACAGG
rnacentral:rRNA from 1 species